UUUAAAAUCUGGACCAAAAAAUCCCAAGCAGAUGCUCUGCUAGUUCUACAAAGGAGAUUUAACAUAACCUUACACCAUCAGCAGAGAAUUCCCGUGUUACAGGCGUAGCGCUGUCACAGCCACCGUCAUGCCAUCUAAUCCCCUCCUGGCAGAAGCAUCACUGGGGCUGCUGGAGCAGAUCAGGAGCAGGGAACUCUGGCUUUCCCCACCAAAAAAGGAGUUCCUCUCUUUUUCCAGCCUCCUGCCAAGCUUCCUCAAACUGGAGAAGGUGGGAGCAAAAGGAGAGGAAAACUAUGCACAGGAAGGAUACAAGAAAAGGAGCAAAUCCAAGAA